AGAAAGAAAUGUUUGAAUUCUGAUGCUUGAGGAUGUAAAUGAAUUGUGUUGCUUGAGCACAAAAAAUAGUGUAUAUAUAUAGUUGCUCAUGAGUCAUCUGCAUCUGCAAUAUUCCAAUUCCUCCGUGAGUGAUUUUCUUACAACAGUUCUAUUGAGGGACAAGGAAUCACAUGGUGUUGUCUUGGAGAUUUAUUUCAAGGAUUAGGAAGAUAAAUGUGAGUAUAUACUAUACCCCACCUUCUGAGAUAAUGGACAACAUAUUUACCUACUUGAACUUAGAUACAUCAGCAGUGGUGAAAUGUAAUGCUUGUUCAUUCAUUGAGCAGUAGCUGUUUCAAUGGUAGACAUGCUUCAGACAUCACCCAUGUUUCUCUGAAGAAGAUAUAUAAAAGAUGUAAGUAGCAAUAAAUAACCUGUAAACCUUGAGAAUUGACCAUAGUUGAUUGCCAGCUCUGAAACAGCGCUUGGAUAUAAGAGAACCAACAUUGAAUACUUGAUCACGAGGCACCAUGGACCACAUUGUUUAUGUACAUCAGAUUCUAGGCACACACGUUGUGUAAUUUGCAUAAACAAAGUUUGCUGCUGCCAUGAAGAAGUUUCAACAUGAUCAAUUAGUUUCUCUCUUUCACAUAUCCACAUGUUUUAUUUUAAGUGGGGUAAUCUGUUCCAGAAGGUGGGACUUGAGUUAUGUUAUCUACUAUAACAUCUUACGUUGAAUCAGUAGAAAGUCCUCUAAGACAACACCAUAUGCUUUGUCUCUCAUUUGGUCCCAUAACAACAACUCAUAGCUCUCUUUCACCAAUAAUCCAAGUAGCCUAUGGUUUCUUGCAUAUCCUUUGAUCUAUGUAUAUAUAUAUCUGCUGCUAAGAGAAUUUAGGAUCAACACAAACCAUUCACAUCCAGAAGCAUUCAAAAUUCAGAAGUUUAUACUUAAGUCCUUUCUUAGACCAUUCUCUUCUCCAGUCUCUAACACAAUCAAUAUAACAAUGGGUUUUCGUUUUCCUCUCAUGAGAAGGACAUUAUUUGCUGGAAAUCACAUAUCUUCUAAAGCAGUGGAUGUGCCAAAGGGCUAUUUUGCAGUCUAUGUUGGAGAGAAAAUGAAGCGGUUUGUGAUUCCUCUAUCAUUCUUGAACCAACCAUCUUUCCGAGAAUUGUUGAGUCAAGCUGAAGAGGAGUUUGGGUAUAAUCAUCCCAUGGGUUGCCUCACAAUUCCUUGCAGCGAAGAUAGCUUCCAACAUAUAACUUCAUGCUUGAAUGUGAUAUAAAUCUCACACUUUAGAAGACUGACAUAGAUUAGUAGAAACUUUUUGUGCAGUAGAAUGACUAAUCAAGAGUAUGCUCUCUCUCUCUUUUCUUGCAUUAUAACAAUGAAUUGAAUUAUUCAAAUGGCUUCUUUGUGUUUUCUGUCCGAUAGUUACAAUGUUUAAUUGUUGAUUUGUCCCUUAAAUAAAAGAAAAAUCUCAAAUCAUGAGUAAGGCUGCUUGAUCUAGGAAAAACUACACUUGGCUGAACUAAUAAAUUUUGAUAGCCGGAACAGAACAUGAGCAAGAGUAUAUUUCUGAGGAGUUAGGAACAUACAGAAAGAUAAUAUACUCAGGAGGAAGUUAAAAUUAUUUUUUCUUAUAAACCAAAAAUAUGUUCAAGAUUAUACAUAUGAAAUUAAGAUUUUUGAGGAGCAUUGACCCAGAUCAUACAUGAAGUGCCUUCUCUGCCUGGGUAGGUCCACAAUAACAUUGGCAUUGGGGUAUUUACAACAACAAAGACUUAUCCCAAUAGGUGAGAUCAGUUAUAUGAAUCAGAUAACGCUAUUUGGCUACAUGCAUCAUAGCCAUGCCUUAAAUUUCCAAAGUUCAAUGAUCAGUUUUUCUCUCUCUCAGGUUUGAGAGCUACUUGUGUUUUAAGAUCAACCGAAGUUCCACCAGAACUUUAAAUUUCUCACUCUAAAUAGUGCAAGUGGAAAUCGAAAAAAAAAAUAAAAAUCUCUAGGUGAUUUGGGAAACCAAAAUAUCUAUAUUUACUAGCCUAUAGGCUAUUUGAGCAAUCUCUUUAAAGAUUGCCUUGUAUCUAAGCAAUUCAUAGCAAGAAUGUAUGAAACUCAAACUUUGGAUUGGUUCUAUCAACUGGAUAUUCAUCUAGUAAGAGAAACUGAGAAAUCAAUAUAAAUCCAAUUUUAAUUUUUGUAUCUUUCAGUUAUAAGUAACAGUCUACACAACAUUCAAGUGUUGUGUUGUGGGGACUAUGUAGUGGAUGCUCCUUUUGCACCACUUUUAUCACGUGGAGGGUGAAACGGAUCUGCAUAAACACUCCACAGUAGACAUUUCUUUUACUGUAUUAGUUAUCAGAAAGUGGUAGUUCAUUAACUUGAAGAACCAAUGUAUAUGUUUUGAGCCUGUCUGGAACACAAGCAGAAGGCCAUUAUAUUGGUUAUGCAAUUAUUUGCUUAUUGGCUGUAAAGUCUCUUUCUGAAGUGCAACCAGGUUGGCAUAGUUCUCAAUUCUCAAAGUAAUCGUUCACUAAAAUCAUGUAGGCAAUAUCAUGUGACAACUCAUUAGCCCCUGUCUCUCACUAGACCCCAUCAAGCAUCAAAUUGCCCAACAACCAUUGAGUUCAUCAGAGAACCGGGUUCACACAGACUCGUAGUAUAUCUAUCUAUAUAUAUAUACACUCACAAUGACAUUCUCAAGCAAGGCAAGCCAAUCACAAAGAACUCAAGCAUUUCUUCACACACAAGCUCUUGCAUUGUUUGGUAUUGUUCUCUGUGCAAUUCAACUCAAAAAACAAUGGGCUUCCGCUUACCCGGUAUUAGAAGAUCAUCUUUUGCUGUCACCAAAGCAGCUUCCAAGGCUAUGGAGGUCCCAAAAGGCUAUCUAGCAGUCUAUGCUGGAGAGAAAAUGAAGCGGUUCGUGAUUCCUAUUUCAUUCUUGAAUCAACCUUUAUUUCAAGAAUUGUUGAGCCAAGCUGAGGAAGAAUUCGGGUAUGACCAUCCAAUGGGUGGUAUCACAAUUCCUUGCAGGGAAGAUGCUUUCUUAGAUCUCACUUCUCGUUUGAAUAGGCUAUAAAUCAUAUUGGAGGAGACUCACGUAGAUUAGUUGAGACAAACUGUACAGAAGACAAUUUUAUUUAUUCAUUAUCCUUCUUUUGUAAGUGGAAAAAACCAUCUAAGUGAGAAAGUUUACAGAAAUGUCAUAUUUCUUUUUUGGUGAAGUUUCAAUGAAUUUUGCCUAUACAAUUUCUCUGCCAAAUUUUGUUUGGAGUAACUAUAGUUUGACAUACAUUAAAAAAUUUUGUAUUUGUAACAGAGAAGAAAAAGUAAAAAGUUGUAAAUCAUAGAUAAAUGUAAAAAAAUUUCUACG
rnacentral:lncRNA from 1 species